rnacentral:sRNA from 1 species
UGCCAGAUUUGGAUGUCCACUAAGAGUA